GGGCGAAAGCCUGAUGGAGCAACGCCGCGUGAGUGAAGAAGGUUUUCGGAUCGUAAAACUCUGUUGUAAGGGAAGAACAAGUACAGUAGUAACUGGCUGUACCUUGACGGUACCUUAUUAGAAAGCCACGGCUAACUACGUGCCAGCAGCCGCGGUAAUACGUAGGUGGCAAGCGUUGUCCGGAAUUAUUGGGCGUAAAGCGCGCGCAGGCGGUCCUUUAAGUCUGAUGUGAAAGCCACGGCUCAACCGUGGAGGGUCAUUGGAAACUGGGGGACUUGAGUGCAGAAGAGGAAAGUGGAAUUCCAAGUGUAGCGGUGAAAUGCGUAGAGAUUUGGAGGAACACCAGUGGCGAAGGCGACUUUCUGGUCUGUAACUGACGCUGAGGCGCGAAAGCGU
rnacentral:rRNA from 1 species